rnacentral:lncRNA from 1 species
GGGGGGGGUUCUGGGGAGUAAACUGUAGUCUGAGGGAUGGGGGUUCCUGGACUAGUUUGAAGAUGGGUUGGGUCCUGAGGAGUCUACUGUAGUCUGCUGAGGGGGAUUCUGAGGAGUAUACUGUAGUCUGCUGAGGGGGAUUCUGAGGAGUAUACUGUAGUCUGGGGGAUGGGGUGUUCUCAGAGGAUAUACUGUAGUCUGGGGGGGGGGUCCUGAGGAGUAUACUGUAGUCUGCAGAGGGGGGUGACAGUCUGAGGCUGGAACAGCUGCAUGUGCUCUGAGUAACUGUUUAACUUGACAUUUUCCCAGCAUCUCUUCCUGCUUGUCUCCCAUAUGGUCUAUUCCUGUACACGGAGGCAGGCAGACCCCUCUGCCCCCAGGGGAAAUCUACAUUUCCUAUCCGGGUGGGGGAGAUGAAUUCCCGGGCUGUGUUCAGUCAAGGUUAAGGGUGUUCAGUAAUGGCCUCAGAUCUGAAUUGAAGGGUCAAUUGAAGGAAUUUUACAAGGUAAUAAGCUCACCACAGCUGUGAGGAGUCACAGUUUAACUUUAUUCCCACAAAAUCAACUUUAAUUAUAAUUUUUGAAUGUGACACUAUCCAAUCUCCCACCUCUAUAACAGCCAAUGAUUUGGGAUUCACACACACACACACACACACACACACGAAGUUAAACUCUUGAUAGCGAUGUUUUGUCUUUGAAGUUUCCUAUUUAACACAUUCCAUCGCCUGUUCUGUUCCUAUUUCCUCAUGUGUUUUCCAUGACUACAACCUUUUGACACUAUGUUUUAUGUCCGGCCAUUGUAUCUGGGGGCAUAGAAUUGUCCAAAGUAAUCAACUGACGACAAUACUACGUUUGAGGAUUUAUUGAUACAUUACAUGGCCAAAAGUAUUUGGACACCUGCUCAUCGAACAUCUUAUUCCAAAAUCAUGGGCAUUAAUAUAGGGUAUACUGAAUAUGGAGUUGGAUUCCCCUUUACUGCUAUAACAGCCUCCAUUCUUCUGUUGAAGACUUUCCACCAGAUGUUAGAACGUAGCUGAUUAACUGAUUCUUAGUCAUUAAAUGGAUAGUUCACCCAAAUGACACAUUGAAAUAUUGAUUUCCUUACUUUGUAAGCAGUUUAUGGACAAGGUAUCACAGCAAUCCAUGCUUUGGUUGUGUUUACAUGGCCGACUGUUUCAAAUGCUAACUUUUUAGCAUUUGUGGCCCAAAUCCAAUGCCAGUCAAUGGUACCUAUAUUAGCAUUUUCACACUUAAUGUCUAAAUAAUCUAUAAUGAACUGAUUUGGCCAUGACAUGCAUAAACUAUUCCUUUAAAUAUAACCAGCUUUCACUUAGCCUUUUACUAGGAGCAACCUUCCUAAAGUGAAGAUGUUGGUAAGGCCCAAAUAUUGUACUUGAAUAUACAGCACAUUUUGUUUGUGAUUAGCUUAUUACUUUGGUCUUAUGGUCUGUGAUAUGGACCAUGUUUUUGUUCUUCCUGUUUAGGGAUCAUGCCCACACUUUGUGCAAAUCUGUUCUUGCCCAUAGAGAUAGAUAGAGGGCUCUAGUGCCCAAAAGCAUGUUUUAGCAUGGGCAGCGCCAUUGAGGAUUUUUACCAUUUUGAAAUCAUCAGCUUAGUGGGACUUCCUAUGGGUUAAGGAAGAAUCAUAUAAUUCUAUCCAGGUUACAAGGAGGGAUCUGCCAAUAAAUUAUACUCAUGAGAAAAUGUUUCAUAACUGCUGGUUGCAGUCUCCAACCUUGGCUUUAUACCUGUUCAAACAACACUCUCUAGGUGUUAAUAUGCACUCUUUCAGUUUGUUUACCAACUCAUAGAAGUAGUAGAAGAAGAAAAUUGUCUACAUCAAAAUGGAGAUGGCCUCAAUUGGUCCUGCCCGUGUUCUCACAGACGCCAUAAUGGAGCAGAUGCAAUGAUGUGAUGUUUAUCUAAGUGUAUGGGUUUACCAUAUACAGAAAACAGUGUUCUAUUUGAAUUGAUGCUUAAAUGUAUGUUUGGAAAUAGAAAGUCAUCAACAAGUGGUAGGCUAUGGGAGGGGCCCCUUAACAAAAUAAUCACUUUUCUAGCUUUGAGAAUGUGGCUCAUUUAUUUACAUCAAUGCAUAAAGACAAAGGAAGUAAAAUACAGUUAAUAUUAAUAUAUCAUAUACAUUGUAGUGAAAAUAAAUCUUUAUCCCAGAGUUCUGUGACCUCAGAAAUAUACCAUACAUUUAUUGUGAUGAUGUCAAUCACAAAAAGCACAUGUUCAGCUUAAUAAAAACACGUUUUCCCAUUUAAAAAAAGGGCUAUAUUAAGUGCCAAAUAUAACAACAGGGUUAACUGUAACAGGGUAGACGUUUUCUUCUUAAAUCAGCCAUAAAUCCCCUUGUGACAGAGGGAAUGGGAGCUUGAUGUGUGCAACAGAAAGUUGUAAUUAAAUGCAAGAUUCACCCCCCAAAAAUGACAUUUCUGCAACAUUUCUAGCGUGUCUUCUAGCGUGUCUAUCUUUGGGUAACAGGAUUGAUGUGUUCUGCUCGACCCGCUCGGUUUUCCACCACAAAACACCAGAAAAUGGCCAAAAAGACUACAACCAGUUCACCUGCGUAUACACUAUGAUUUCACUAUUAGAUGUUGUGUUUCUUUAAAACGAUAGUUCAGUGCAUGUAACAGGGUUGACCUUAAAAUGAGGGACAGACGUAAAUGAAUCACUAAUCACAUUAAAUAAAUAAUCUUCCAAAAUGACUUUGUCAAAGCAACAAAAUAACUAGGGCUUUACAAUGAUGGUGAAACUUGGAGACAUUUAGGGAUUAAGUGGGUUAAAAUCUUACUGGAAGUGACACAGGGUUAACUGAGUGAAAUGUCAAAAUGCUGCAUUUUGCCACUUUAGCAAGC